rnacentral:rRNA from 1 species
UACGUAGGGUGCAAGCGUUGUCCGGAAUUAUUGGGCGUAAAGAGCUUGUAGGCGGUUUGUCGCGUCUGCUGUGAAAGUCCGGGGCUCAACUCCGGAUCUGCGGUGGGUACGGGCAGACUAGAGUGAUGUAGGGGAGACUGGAAUUCCUGGUGUAGCGGUGAAAUGCGCAGAUAUCAGGAGGAACACCGAUGGCGAAGGCAGGUCUCUGGGCAUUAACUGACGCUGAGGAGCGAAAGCAUGGGGAGCGAACAGG